rnacentral:rRNA from 1 species
UACGUAGGGUGCAAGCGUUAAUCGGAAUUACUGGGCGUAAAGCGUGCGCAGGCGGUGAUGUAAGACAGAUGUGAAAUCCCCGGGCUCAACCCUGGGAACUGCAUUUGUGACUGCAUCGCUGGAGUGCGGCAGAGGGGGGUGGAAUUCCGCGUGUAGCAGUGAAAUGCGUAGAGAUGCGGAGGAACACCGAUGGCGAAGGCAGCCCCCUGGGCUGACACUGACGCUCAGGCACGAAAGCGUGGGGAGCAAACAGG